CCUACGGGGGGCAGCAGUGAGGAAUAUUGGUCAAUGGCCGCGAGCCUGAACCAGCCAAGUCGCGUGAGGGAAGACGGUCCUAUGGAUUGUAAACCUCUUUUGCCGGGGAGCAAAAGACGCCACGCGUGCCGUUCCGAGAGUACCCGGAGAAAAAGCAUCGGCUAACUCCGUGCCAGCAGCCGCGGUAAUACGGAGGAUGCGAGCGUUAUCCGGAUUUAUUGGGUUUAAAGGGUGCGAAGGCGGACGUUGAAGUCAGCGGUAAAAUUGAGAGGGUCAACCUCUUCGAGCCGUUGUAACUGGGGGACGUGAGUGCGGCGAGGGCAUGCGGAAGGCGCGGGAGCGAGGUGAAAUGCAGAGAUAGCGCGCAGAACCAUGAGUGGGAAGGCAGCGUGCCGUGCCGCCAGGGACGCGGAGGCACGAAAGAGCGGGGAGCGAACAGGAUUAGAGACCAGGGUAGGC
rnacentral:rRNA from 1 species